AUCCUGAGGAAACAGUGUAUGCUAAUUUCCCAGAGACCAGCCGAGAGGAGACCAGAGCGGUCGACGGACAGAGCAGAUCUGCUCCUGUGGAAAACUCAGCUGACUACAGCGCCGUCACUGCUGCAGCUUCCCGUCCUCUGAGAAAACCUGAAGACGACUCGAAUGAACUCGUCUACACUCAGGUAGAUUUUUCCAACAGAGCUGCCUCCUCACUCAGCAGCGCCCCCUCUGGUCAGGCCGAUAACGUUAUCUACUCUGCACCUCAGAGACGCACUGAUGCCAAAGUAGUUUCACAGCCUCUGUACGCAAC